rnacentral:lncRNA from 1 species
GCCUUGGCCAGGUCGAUGAAAACAGCUGCACAGUACUAUAUUUUAUCUAUGGAGGUUAUGAUAUCAUUUAGGACCUUGAGCGUGGCUGAGGUGCACCCGUGACCAGCUCGGAAACCAGAUUGCAUAGCGGAGAAGCUGUCAGGGCCAACCCUCCUACCACGACCAGCACUACAAGCCAGAUGGUCAGCCUGGAAUUCAGCUAUCAGCUUGAAUCCUUUGGAUGGGUCAUCGUUGGUCCCUGACGGCUUCCCUCAUGAGAAGAAAGGAGUAUGGUACCAUGAGGGUCAUCCACCUAAUGUCCAUGUCCUCACCAGCACCACAAGCCAUUCAGUCAGCCGGGAAUGCGCACACUGGCUUGAAGAUGAACAGGCACGGCUGACUUCAAUAAACUCGUUAAGGGUGUGGCUGGCUACUCAAUUAGGCGCCACACUUAUCAACUGCUGGUUUCCCCUCACGGGGAAGAGGAC